rnacentral:tRNA from 1 species
GCGUCUGUAGCUCAAUUGGAUAGAGCGCCGGACUUCGGAUCCGUAGGUUGCAGGUUCAACUCCUGUCAGACGUACCA